GCCUACAUGCAAGUCGAACGGUAACAGUGAUCCAGCUUGCUGCUAUCGCUGACGAGUGGCGAACGGGUGAGUAAUGUCUGGGAAUCUGCCCUAUGGAGGGGGAUAACUACUGGAAACAGUGGCUAAUACCGCAUACGAUCUGAGGACGAAAGUGGGGGACCUUCGGGCCUCACGCCAUCGGAUGAACCCAUAUGGGAUUAGCUAGUAGGUGGGGUAACGGCUCACCUAGGCGACGAUCCCUAGCUGGUCUGAGAGGAUGACCAGCCACACUGGAACUGAGACACGGUCCAGACUCCUACGGGAGGCAGCAGUGGGGAAUAUUGCACAAUGGGCGCAAGCCUGAUGCAGCCAUGCCGCGUGUGUGAAGAAGGCCUUCGGGUUGUAAAGUACUUUCGUCGGGAAGGAAGGCAUGGAGCUUAAUACGCUCUGUCAUUGACGUUACCCGCAGAAUAAGCACCGGCUAACUCCGUGCCAGCAGCCGCGGUAAUACGGAGGGUGCAAGCGUUAAUCGGAAUUACUGGGCGUAAAGCGCGCGCAGGCGGUCGGUCAAGACGGAUGUGAAAUCCCCGGGCUCAACCCGGGAACUGCAUCGGAAACUGGCAGGCUUGAGUCUCGCAAAGGGGGGUAGAAUUCCAGGUGUAGCGGUGAAAUGCGUAGAGAUCUGGAGGAAUACCGAUGGCGAAGGCGGCCCCCUGGACUAACACUGACGCUCAUGUGCGAAAGCGUGGGGAGCAAACAGGAUUAGAUACCCUGGUAGUCCACGCCCUAAACGAUGUCAACUUGUAGGCUGUGAUCUUGACUCUUGGCUUCCGAACCUAACGCGUUAAUUCAACCGCCGGGGAAGUACGUCCGCAGAGUUAAAACCUCAAAUGAAUUGACGGGAGCCCCCCAAACCGUGGAAGCUGGUGAUUUAAUUCAAUGCACCGCGAAAAACCUUACCUGCUCUUGACUUCCACAGAACUUGCCAAAAAUGGCUUGGUGCCCUCAGAAACUAGUGAAACAGGGGCUCCAUGGGUUUCCCCACCUCCCGGUUUCGAAAAGUUGG
rnacentral:rRNA from 1 species